CUCACGGCAGGUAGAGUAUACUGUGGAUACACUAGACAAAGGGAUGAUUUAUAUCCUGGGCAGAAUGGAGUAGGACAGUGAAAGAUUUCGCCAACAUAUUCAGAAUAGCAUGCAAUUUAAAACUUAUUUUGAAGUUGGAAGAAGUGGCAAAAUGUGAAAAGCAAGAAGCAAGUAUUACCAGAGACACCUAUGAAAAAGAAAUCUUUCUGAAGAACAUUUUUAAAGUGCCAUAAUCUGUUCGCACUGCCCAUACUUCUGAAAGCAGUACUUUCAUUUUCAACUCAGAGGUUGAGCCUGGUUUCUCAACUCAAGCUGCAUAUUAGAAUCAGCUGGGAAGCUUUUAAGAAAUCCCAACAGCCAGGCCACAAACCAGACCAACUAAUGCAGAACCUCUGAGGGUAGAACACAGCUCAUGGCCCAUAGUGUUGGUGAGGCCAACACUAUAGCUGCAAGCACUUACUUCAUUUAAGAAGUUUAUCGAGAGCUUUAUAAAUAAAUUCUGUUCUCCAUCUA
rnacentral:lncRNA from 1 species